rnacentral:rRNA from 1 species
AGUGGACGCUGGCGGUAGGCCUAACACAUGCAAGUCGAACGGCAGCACAGUAAGAGCUUGCUCUUACGGGUGGCGAGUGGCGGACGGGUGAGGAAUACAUCGGAAUCUACUUUUUCGUGGGGGAUAACGUAGGGAAACUUACGCUAAUACCGCGUACGACCUACGGGUGAAAGCAGGGGAUCUUCGGACCUUGCGCGAUUGGAUGAGCCGAUGUCGGAUUAGCUAGUUGGCGGGGUAAAGGCCCACCAAGGCGACGAUCCGUAGCUGGUCUGAGAGGAUGGUCAGGCACACUGGGACUGAGACACGGUCCAGACUCCUAAGGGAGGCAGCAGUGGGGAAUAUUGGACAAUGGGCGGAAGCCUGAUCCAGCCAUCCCGCGUGGGUGAAGAAGGCCUUCGGGUUGUAAAGCCCUUUUGUUGGGAAAGAAAAGCAGCAGGUUAAUACCCCGCUGUUCUGACGGUACCCAAAGAAUAAGCACCGGCUAACUUCGUG